UACGUAGGGGGCAAGCGUUGUCCGGAAUCAUUGGGCGUAAAGCGCGUGUAGGCGGCUCGAUAAGUCUGCUGUGAAAGUUCAGGGCUCAACCCUGAAAUGCCGGUGGAAACUGUCGAGCUAGAGUCCGGAAGAGGUGAGUGGAAUUCCUGGUGUAGCGGUGAAAUGCGCAGAUAUCAGGAGGAACACCAAUGGCGAAGGCAGCUCGCUGGGACGGUACUGACACUGAGACGCGAAAGCGUGGGGAGCAAACAGG
rnacentral:rRNA from 1 species